rnacentral:rRNA from 1 species
UGGGGAAUAUUGCACAAUGGGCGCAAGCCUGAUGCAGCCAUGCCGCGUGUAUGAAGAAGGCCUUCGGGUGGUAAAGUACUUGCAGUCGGGAGGAAGGUGGUAAGGUUAAUAACCUUGGCAAUUGACGUUACCGACAGAAGAAGCACCGGCUAACUCCGUGCCAGCAGCAGCGGUAAUACGGAGGGUGCAAGCAUUAAUCGGAAUUACUGGGCGUAAAGCGCACGCAAGCGGUUUGUUAAGUCAGAUUUGAAUUCCCCGGGCUCAACCUGGGAACUGCAUCUGAUACUGGCAAGCUUGAGUCUCGUAGAGGGGCGUAGAAUUCCAGGUGUAGCGGUGAAAUGCGUAGAGAUCUGGAGGAAUACCGGUGGCGAAGGCGGCCCCCUGGACGAAGACUGACGCUCAGGUGCGAAAGCGUGGGGAGCAAACAGG